UACACAGAUAUUACUGUCAACUUAACUGUCAAAAUAUGAGUCCAAUCUUUUAUCUUUGUCUGUAUCAGGAAAUCUUUCGGAAUCCAAUAUGAAUAUUACGUUCACUACUAAGGUCACAAUCCAGUAUGAUGUUGUUUGUAGAAUAAAAAUGUCAAUCCAAAUGCUAUGAAUAUUAAUGUCUAUCGAUGUCUAAGUCCAAGUGUAAGUGUGGGAGUUUAACUUUAGUGUCUGUAUAUAUAUAGUUGUCAUGGAAGAUUCUAGAACAGUCUAUAAUGGAACAUCCUAGAAAGUUACAACAGAAGUUUCUAGUAAAAUGUAGAAGUUUAUAUAACGCAUCUUUUAUUAGGAUAAUUCUGGAAAGUUCCAAUCAUUCUGUAAUUGUUCCAGUGAUUUCUAAACUGCACAGUUCUAAGAUUAUUCUGUAAACAACUAUCAGGCCACACAACACAAAUCAGGC
rnacentral:lncRNA from 1 species